rnacentral:snRNA from 1 species
GCACGCGCCUAACGGCGUG